rnacentral:rRNA from 1 species
UACAGAGGGUGCGAGCGUUAAUCGGAAUUACUGGGCGUAAAGCGUGCGUAGACGGCUAUCUAAGUCGGGUGUGAAAUCCCCGGGCUUAACCUGGGAACUGCAUUGGUGACUGGCGGGCUAGAGUAUGGCAGAGGGGGGUAGAAUUCCACGUGUAGCAGUGAAAUGCGUAGAGAUCGGCAGGAACACCCAGGGGGAAACCAGCCGACUGGGCAUCUACUGACGCUGAGGUGCGAGAGCGUGGGGAGCGAACCGG